UGGGGAAUAUUGGACAAUGGGCGGAAGCCUGAUCCAGCCAUGCCGCGUGUGUGAAGAAGGCCUUUUGGUUGUAAAGCACUUUAAGCGAGGAGGCGUUACUCGCAGAAUAAGCACCGGCUAACUCUGUGCCAGCAGCCGCGGUAAUACAGAGGGUGCGAGCGUUAAUCGGAUUUACUGGGCGUAAAGCGUGCGUAGGCGGCUGAUUAAGUCGGAUGUGAAAUCCCUGAGCUUAACUUAGGAAUUGCAUUCGAUACUGGUCAGCUAGAGUAUGGGAGAGGAUGGUAGAAUUCCAGGUGUAGCGGUGAAAUGCGUAGAGAUCUGGAGGAAUACCGAUGGCGAAGGCAGCCAUCUGGCCUAAUACUGACGCUGAGGUACGAAAGCAU
rnacentral:rRNA from 1 species